rnacentral:lncRNA from 1 species
CGCCGCCAACCCAUAGUCAUCUCCUAUGUGUUAGUCCAAUUCCAUCUUCUAUUCACAAAUGGCUCACUCAUGGAUGAUGCACACCACGUGCUCGAUGAUUUGCCUCUACAGCAAAUAAACAUGCUCAGGUUCUUGCGGCAAAGAAAAUGGACAUGGUACAUGGACCCCUUCUGAUGUACAAAUCCUUCAUUAGAGUGUUAUUCAGUGAGAGUGGAACCUAUGACACUAUAUAUGCUAACGGCCUUGGUUGGGAUUUUUUUUGUGAUCACCUGCCUGGUUGGGAUUGUUAAGAUCUUAUACUUGCUUAGUUGAUUUGGUACACCCAUAUUUUGAACUCAUUAGUGUGUGUUUUAUCUCUUU